rnacentral:rRNA from 1 species
ACAAACGCUGGCGGGGUGCAUGAGACAUGCAAGUCGAACGGGGUUGAGCGGGCUUGCUCGAUCAACCUAGUGGCGGACGGCUGAGUAACGCGUAGGUGACCUACCCGGAAGUGGGGAAUAACUGCCCGAAAGGGUGGCUAAUACCGCAUGUGGUCGGCGAUUCAGUUCGCCGCCCAAAGCCGCAAGGCGCUUCCGGCGGGGCCUGCGUCCGAUUAGCUAGUUGGUGGGGUAAUGGCUCACCAAGGCGACGAUCGGUAGCUGGUCUGAGAGGAUGAUCAGCCAGACUGGGACUGAGAACGGCCCAGACUCCUACGGGAGGCAGCAGUCGGGAAUUUUGCCCAAUGGACGAAAGUCUGAGGCAGCAACUCCGCGUGAGGGACGAAGGCC